GACGGAGGAUGCAAGUGUUAUCCGGAAUCACUGGGCGUAAAGCGUCUGUAGGUGGUUUAAAAAAGUCCACUGUUAAAAAUUGAAGCUUAACUUCAAAGAUGCCGUGGAAACUUUUAAACUUGAGUAUGAUAGGGGUAGAGGGAAUUUCCAGUGGAGCGGUGAAAUGCGUAGAUAUUGGAAAGACCACCAAUGCGAAGGCACUCUACUGGGCCAUUACUGACACUGAGAGACGAAAGCUAGGGUAGCAAAUGGG
rnacentral:rRNA from 1 species